rnacentral:lncRNA from 1 species
ACCAUAGUGGAGAAUAAGAUUAAAAUAUUUUUAAUCUAAAUUAUGUAUACAUAAAAAUAUAAAAUCACAUGGAUCUAUCUCCUAUGCUGAAAUUGAUAUAUGCUGAAUUUAGAUUGUGAUCAAAUCACAUACCUGUUUCACAAUCAUUUUCUUUGAAUCUGGAUCUGAAAGAGAAGAGGUUUUCUCUUAGCUGCAUAAGUAUCCGGCCU